UAGAAAAAAUGGGUUAGAUAGAGAAGCUCUCAUCUCUCUCUAUAAAAAUUUCUUAAAAAUAUUUCCCAAAACUCUUUUUCUAUUACCUUUGGAUAUUCCCCACUUUCCUCUUUAAUAGAUUUAUGUCACACAAACCCUCUUACUGAGACAUAACUUCAAAUCAAAUCCCUACCUCCGAUCAUCCUAUGGAUGAAGGUUGUUUAACUACAGAACCGGACAAUUUGGAAGAUGAUCCUGUAAAUCUAUCGGUCGACGAUCGGAAUCGCCUUUAUACACCCUGGAAUUCCUCAGUGAUCUUGAAGGCAUUUGGGAGAAAAUUUACUCAACAAUACCUAAACACAAAAUUAGAAGCCUUAUGGAAGCUACCAGAACCUCUUUUCUUAUUUAUCUAGGUUUUGACUUUUUUACGGCAAAAUUCAAUAACCCAGAAAACCAAGAGUUAGUCCUCCAGGGUGGCCCUUGGUAUAUCGCCAGAAGUUUCUUGUCAGUCAGGUGGUGGGAAUCCAAUUUCAUCCCUAGUCAGACCCAUAUUAUCUCAACCGUAAUUUGGGUUCGUCUUCCCUAGUUACCCACUGAAUUCGACGACAUAGUCUUGCUGGAAAGGGUGGGUAGAAAACUUGGGAAACUUCUUAAGGUAGACUCCUGUACCUCUCCAACAAUCAAAGGUCGAUACAUACGUAUCUGUGUCCAAGUUGAUCUAGAAAAUCCAGUGAAAACAUCCAUCAUGAUUGGUAAUCAUAGGCAACUUCUAUUCUAUGGAGGAGAAAAGAUCCUUUGUAAAGUGUGUGGGUUUUGGGCGCAUACAACCUAAAAUUGCACUGAGAAGCUCACCAUAGGAAAACCAACCUCAGAAUCUCCAUCUUCCCCAAGGCGGCGAAGGUGACGGUCAAAGAGGAAUGGAAGACAGUUACUUUUGCUCGCAAGAGAAAUCCGAAACGAGACCAUGAUUUCUCCAAAAUGGUAUACCCCUCCCCCUGUUAAUGGUAAGAAAUCAGAGGAAGCCACGACAUGUAAGUCUCCUAACCUUCCUCUUAUAAAACCCAAGGUAGCCAUGGCUACUGGGAGCUUAACUCCUUUAGGGCAAUAGAGCCUGUCUAGACCUACUCGAGUCACCAAAUUAUCUGGGCCAACUUUGGCCCACUUACCCAAAGCCUAAGGUAUUUCUACUUUGGAUCUUAAUAUGCUUAAAUCCAACCGAUUUGGGCCUAUCUAAGAUGGGCUCCCAUCUUAUCCUGUUCAGAAUAGGUUCAUUUCCUCAAGGUUGGGUUUAAACCUUAAGCCUAGUUGCUUACUGGACCCAGUUCCUUCACUCAAGCCCUAUUUUCAUUUUAAAACAAAUUUUGAUAAUUUCUCCACUUCUACUCUUGCUGAACAAAAAAGAAAGCUCAUAAAUGGGUUCUAUCCUAGUGAGCUCAUCAUUACCCCUCAAGUGCCUCGGGAUAUUCUUGCUCCUAUGCCGGUCAAAAUUAUUUCCACUUCUCUAGGGGAUCUGAUGGAUAUCAUUAUUCCCCAGACAGAUUAUUAAAUAUUGAUGAUCUGUCCGAAGCAAAACCCGUUUGCUUUCCCUCCUCAGUUCUAACUUAAAAGAACAAAUGGACACCAUGCAAACUAUUUUCAUUUCUCACAAUGACUCCAACAUCUCCAAACAUGAUCACCAUGUUAACAAAUCUCACUCCUCCAUAUCACACCCCAAUAUCUUGGCUGGAAGUGUGUCUGUCCAAUCAGUACAUUCCCCUCUAUUUACAAUGGGAGGGGAAUCAAAUGACAAUCUUCAUCCAGGACCCCGGAUACAUAGCUCAACUUACAAUGGACCGUUUAAACCAGGGUCUUCAAAGCUUUUGUCCAAAUAUUUGGAUAGCGACUCUAUUCCAAAUCUUCAACUCCUCAUCUCCAGAAAACCUCACCCCACAAUAAUAAUGGAGUUGAUGUCUCUAACAAUCUUGAUUCUUCCCCUUUUUCCCCUACACACACCCUACUCUUGACUCAAGGACCUCUUUUUGUGAAUCUCAAUGGGGGGGAAACUUUCCAUCUAGUUUUUUUCUUAAAUACCCCCCAUCUUACCUCCCCCUUCUAUGAACCUAGAAGCCACGAAGUGGGAGAAAACCCUGACAACUCUGAGGGAAAGCAAUAAGGAUACGGAAAACUUGUUAGCCCAACUGAGAAUCCCCAAGAACGAUGUUAUCACUCUGUAAAGACCUAUAAGCGUGGACUUUGAAGGUUUGCUACACAAAAUGGUUAGUGCUCAGAAGGCUAGGAGGACCUCCCAUACACCAUAGCUACAGGGAGCAGAACAGUAUUGUAGAUGCUUUAGAAAAA